UACGUAGGGUGCGAGCGUUGUCCGGAAUUAUUGGGCGUAAAGGGCUCGUAGGCGGUCUGUCGCGUCGGGAGUGAAAACUCAGGGCUUAACCCUGAGCCUGCUUCCGAUACGGGCAGACUAGAGGUAUGCAGGGGAGAACGGAAUUCCGGGUGUAGUGGUGGAAUGCGUAGAGAUCCGGAGGAACACCAGCGGCGAAGGCGGCAUCCUGGACUGGUCCUGACACUCAGGAGCGAAAGCGUGGGGAGCGAGUCCGG
rnacentral:rRNA from 1 species